UAUACUCUUAUGAGAACAGGACACAGCUUAAUUUAGCAGUCUUAUCACUACUACAAUAAACGGAUACAAGGACACCAAAAGAUGACACAUAAUUUUUAUACAGUCCUUAAAGGUUUUAAGGACACACAUCAUUUAAUUGAAAAUUUUUAAGGGGAGGGAGAGUGUUUCAACCUCACAUGGACAUCUUCAAUGCUGUGUCCUUAAAUUUAAUUUGGCCCAAUUUUCAUUGAAAUAAGAAAAUGCGCCGCAACACUUUGCGUUUUCCCUCCCGAAAUUUCACUUCCCUCCUCUCCCAAUUUUCAACUUCCCUCUUCAAUUGAAACCCACCAGAAGAAAAAAGAUGUUGUUUCAUUCAUUCUAUUUCCAUUUUUUACGUGUAAUUGAAAAUAGCACAGAGGCUUCUUCUUCCGAAGAGCUUCCCACUCGCCCUAAUCUCAUGGACACCUCACUUCCGCUCCCUCCCCCGUGACUUUGUUGGAUGCCCCCACAGCCUCCGCCCUCUCACUGGCGACCUGAGGUCGCUGAGGAAGAACCGGCGCCAGUGCCGGCGUACGUUAGCAUCUGCCGUCACGGUUCUUGAUUAAAGCAUCUCUCGAUUCUCACUAAAUUCUGGUGUUCGUCACGGUGGUGAUGUUCUCGGCGGUGUCCAUGGUGUACUUCAAUCAGUCAUUGAAGCCGAAGAAGAUGAAUCACAUAGAGGUUAGCGGUGAAGUUCUGGUCAAAGAUCAGAGUAUUGAUUUGAUGCUUUGAAUGUUCAUAUUAGAGAUCUGUUGAAGAUAUCAUCUCUGUUAUAAAGUACCUUUAAUUGUGUAUAGAAAUCUAUUCAAAUUUGGGUAAUAAAACUCAACGACGUCGUAGCCAAGAACUGAGCAAACCAGCAGAAACUGAGCCCUAGCCUAAGUCGGAGAAGAUGAUGGUCUGCGUCGCCAUCGUCGAGCAUCAGGUGCACCUUCAUCCCUACUCUAACAAAGAUUAUCGAAAUGAACCAAAAGAAAACGCUAAUGUAUUGGUUUGUGUGAAAAUUUGAUGAGAACAACCGUCUUUACAUCCAAAGCUUCAUUGAUGCCGAAGACGCCCUCAAGCUCCACCACAUUGUCCACUGCUCCCUCGACGUCAUCGACGAGCGAGUGAACAAUCCGAAGAAGUCCAGACCAACACUGAAUGAGACAUUCUUGGUCUGCUUUAUCCGAUUGAAAAUUACAAAGUGUAUGGCUAAUUGACUAAUACAAAGGUGAAUUUUAUCUUGGUAACUAUUGAUCUCGAUGUUAAAGAUGGAGAUGUCAGAAAUGUGAGUAUUGCCCUUGAUUUGAUGCUAUUGUUACUAAAGAAUUCAGUGUGCAGUGUGUGAAAAUGAAAACUGAUGCAGAAUUAACCCAGCAAAUUUUCAUCAAUCUGAAUAUGUAUUAAUAUUUCUUCUCAUGCUUAAUGAUGAUAAAAGAUUAUGUAGCUCCAAGUUGAUCUAAUUAGUUCAUAAAUUUUGACCAUCUUAACAAGAUUUCUCUUUUCUGGGAAAUGACCUAAGACUUAUAGGAAACAGUGGAACCCAUGCAAGUUGUUGGGUGUAACUGAGUAAGAUUAAUUUUGCGUUUUGCACAGUAGUGUGCUUUUGUUAUCUGAAUGUUGAAUACAUAUUAUAGAUUCCCUGUUUUAUGUUUAGUCUUGUGAUGUGAGAAGGAAUCUGAUACUAUCAUACAUAGCAUUAAAGCGCAUGGCUUUUACAUCCGGUAGUUUGUUAUAAAUUCAUCCCCAAAUUUUAGUUACUUGAUUUGAAGGAAGUGAAAGAAGAGGUUGCCAAGUACAAGGUGAGGUUACUCAAUCAAUUUUUUUUUUUGGAUAUGUUUUGUUUAUAUAAUUUGUUUGAUAUGUUCAGUGUGUAUUGAUCUUGGAUUGUGUUACGAUUAUGAAUAUGAAUCUUGUUUUGGUUUUCUGGUUUGCAGAUUGAUGAGAAUGUUCAAAGGGAAAUCAUAAAUCACAGAUCCUUGAGGCAUCCAAAUAUUGUCAGGUUCAAAGGGAUAAUCAGCUAGUAUUGAGUUAAUUGUGUGCGUACAGGCACUUUGGAGUGUGUAUGGUGUGUUUGAGUGUUCCAGCUUGUUAUUGUGGUGUUUUGGCAAUCAUAUUAGACUAAUCUUAUGUGAAGAAAACUCCAAGAUGAUAAUUAUCAAACUCAACGUGAGCACCAAAGAACUAAGAUAAGGCAGUCUUGAGACGAAUGCUUGAAGUAUACUUGUUUUACUGCAGGUCUUGGUGACUCCAAGUAAUUUAGCUAUUGUCAUGGAAUAUGCAGCUGGUGGUGAGCUAUUUGAGAGGAUAUGUAGUGCUGGUAGAUUUAGUGAAUAUGAGGUUAGUUCUUUAGUUUACAUAUUAGAUAAAAUCAUUAGGUUUUUCUGCAUAUAGGAAUUACUUAAUUGGAAGUUGUUGAUUCACGAGUAUUUGUUGAUUGCAAUUCCUCCACACAACAAGCAAGAUUUUUCUUCUAGCAGCUGAUAUCUAGAGUCAGCUACUGUCAUUCCAUGGUAAAUUAUAUUUGAUGCAGAUACAUUAUGAAAUGGUUUCCUUGUUUAAAAUAAUGAUUAUCUGAAAUAUGGUAUGUUCUUUUGUUCACAGGUUGAGAUAAUUAUGUGGGGAAGUGAGCUCGGUGAGAAAUUUAAUGGUUGUUAGAUUAUGCUCAGAAGGACUUGGGUGCUAUAUAAUUGAAAUCAAUGCAACCAUUGAAUUGUAAUCCUUGCAUGCAUGCAAUGUCUUAUAGUUGCUGGUUUAGUCACUUGUUUAUUAACAAGCUAUAAGGAUUUGUUUUAAUAUAGGAUGUUCUUUUGGGCUUCAUUCAAAGCAUGCUGAUAUGUUCUUCAUUUUAAAUGCUGAUUAUUGGUGAUAAUAUUUUCGUAAUUAAUGGUCAGAUUACUAGCUUAUUGUUUUCUUACUGAGCUCUGAUGCAGUGUCAUUAAGAUGUUUAAUGCUUAAAAGGGAAGAAAGAAUUGUAAAACAGUUUAUUGGGAUGUGGUUAAGGUACAUUUCUACUUAACCAUGCAUGUAUAUAUAUUUCUUAUUUCUGGUAUGAAUUAAGUUAUAUAUGUAGCAGUAGCUAGCUUUGAAUUAUGUAGGUUCAAAACAGUAAUGGUAGUAGUACAUUAAUUCUGGAUGUUGGACUUGUGGUUUUUACAGGUUACUUGUUUUGGAUGGUAUGAAUUGAGUUAUAUAUGUAGCAACAG